UAAACGAGAAAGUCCUUUGCCCUCACUGCUGUUUGCAGUUACCGGUGAUAACUAAACAGACGUGUGGAGAGGAAAAGUGUCUGGCUGAGAAAAUCACCAGAAAUGAUGGAGAUGGUGCCCUGAUAGAACUGGACCUGAAGCUCUGCACUUGUGUCCUUCAAUGCAAACCAGGUUUCUGGACUCACACAGACUUGAAACCAAAGCCAGGCUCGACCACAGAUAGUUCGAGGCUCCAGGAUGUUCCUGAGAUGGCGAAGCUGGCGUCCCUCACGGUCUGAAGGCAGGGGAGGCCCUGAGCUAGCCAAGACCUCACACUGGAACGCGAUGAAACUGUCUGUCAGAUGAGGUCCUAGAAGUUACCACAUGGGAAUGAAUAAGGAAGAUGCAAAAUGUAGUGAAAGAGACCAGUCAUCUCCCACGGUGGAGGCACAGCUGAGUAUCUGAGAACACGUGAUUGAAGGGUCUCUCCCACCUGCAUGGCCAGGGCGUCCUUCAGGGAGAAUGAUGGGGGAGGGGUGAUGCCAGGGGGAAGCCUGGGCCCCCAGAAGAGAAUGGGCUGCAUGGUACCUCUAAAGAGGGCAGCUUGUGGGGGGAACUCAUUGGUUUCCCAGCAUCCUGGAUACAUGGCACCUGGUGGGGGGAGACCUGUCCUUAUGGAGAAGGUAAGGUUACAAACAUUUAACGUAAUAACUGACGCGCAGUGUUGGGCAUGUGCUGGCUCAUUAUGCUAUUCUAUUUUUGUAUAGAUGACAUUUGCCAAAAUAAAAAGUGAA